rnacentral:lncRNA from 1 species
GAUGCAGGGGACGGUGAAGGUGGGGACGAUGAAGUAGGGGAUGGGUUAUGGUGAAGGAGGGGUGGCAAACGCAUGAGGAGUUCAUCAAUUUUGGCGGUCAUGGAGGACUGUUGCUGUGUAAGGCGGAGGAGAGCAUCCUCAAGUUUAUCGGGGGUGUGGGAGGGGUCCGACAUCAAUGAAAGCACCAGUUUGUUAGAGGAAAAGAAUAAGAUGCUGACUUCGAGGGCAGCAACCUCCAGCACAAGGGGGAAAAGAGGAAGAUAAAGGAAGGAAAGUAUUAUUUUUCUCAUAUCCCGCUUUGAUUAUGUACAUAGCUAUAUAUAGGCUAAUUUCCUAUAACAGAAUGUGUGAAAUUCUAUCCAAAUCCAAAAAGGAAUCUAAUAGAAAUCUAAUAACGAUAUUCUGUUAUGCAGGAUCAUUGUGAGCAGACCCUCCUCUUGGUCUCUCCUUUCUUCUGCACCAUGACUGCUGGUGUUUCCUGCAUUUGUGGUGUCUCUGGUUUAUGUGUAACAUGACUCUACAACUCAACUGGGAG